AAUGAACGCUGGCGGUGUGCCUAACACAUGCAAGUCGUACGAGAAAGGGGCUUCGGCCCUGAGUAGAGUGGCGCACGGGUGAGUAACGCGUGGGUAAUCUGCCCUUGGAUUUGGAAUAACUCCGCGAAAGUGGAGCUAAUACCGGAUAGUCUGGCUUUUUAACGAAGUCGGUAAAGGAUGCCUCUGCAUAUGCAUUCGUCCGAGGAUGAGCCCGCGUCUCAUUAGCUAGUUGGUAGGGUAAUGGCCUACCAAGGCAACGAUGAGUAGCUGGUCUGAGAGGAUGAGCAGCCACACUGGAACUGAAACACGGUCCAGACUCCUACGGGAGGCAGCAGUGGGGAAUAUUGCGCAAUGGGCGAAAGCCUGACGCAGCAACGCCGUGUGAGGGAUGAAGGCUUUCGGGUCGUAAACCUCUGUCAGAAGGGAAGAACGGAUGUUGGUCUAAUAGGCCUUCAUUUUGACGGUACCUUCAGAGGAAGCACCGGCUAACUCCGUGCCAGCAGCCGCAGUAA
rnacentral:rRNA from 1 species